CACAGUAUAAGCAGACUGGAACUAUAAUUCAUAGGCACACAACUUUUUCUCUUCUACUGUCUUAUUUAUGGGCAAGUAUUUUCUACAAGAACUUCUUUUUAUUUUCAUUGAGUAACAGCAGUCUUCUUUUGUAAAGCAACUGGUGACAUGAAACACCUGCAGGUUAAGGCACAUCCGAGUUGUGUUUCCCCUGCAUGUUUCAAUGUAAAGACAGUCCUCUGGACUCUCCUUCCUUAGUUUGGACUUUUCCUGGUAUCCUUGAAUUUUAAUACAUAUUUAUACUAUUUUAUGUUAUAUAUGUACCCACAGCCAGGGAAUUUUACCCUCUUUUUCUAGACUGCAGCAGGACCUGGACACAUUUGCUACCGAGUGGUGUUUGCUCUGAAGGACAGAUGGCAGCAGUCCUUUUUCCUCCACCUUGCGAAGAGUUUAGAUACAAUGCAGAAUGCUUCACAAGUGGUAAAGGGACUGACCAUAGCAGCUAGAGAGCAACAUAGUUUGUAAUGAUGUACAGCUACUUUAUAGGGCUCUGGAAACUGCAAACCUGGGCCUUUUUUAGGUAGCUAGUGUCCUUCAAUCAACUUCUGCUGGACUGAUACAUAUGGAAAGUAAAUAUUGGUUAAAAUAAAGGAAUGCUCCUUUGGAUUUCCAUUAUAGAAUCAAGAGUGGAACCACUAUUGAAAUUCAGGUUUUCCUGUCUGGACAGAAUUUAUAGCUAAUCUUAGGAGUAGUCUUAUCGGUUCCUCUUAAGGCUAUAUAUCUAAACAGUGAGAUGUAAAUUUAAUGGGAAAGUUUGCAGCAUACGAUGUCUGCUUAAUAAAUGAAGUGUGGUGUCUGCAGGCUUGUGUUUGUGGUUAUUCACAGGCUUGAGUUUCACACAGCUUUAGAUACUUUCUGCAAUGAGGAUGUUUACAGUCUCUUUUGAAGAAUUUGCUUUUACAAGUCUUGUCCAAAUUCAUGAUACUCUUAAAGUAUUGCAGAUACCCUUUUUUUUGAAAAUGCGCAGAUACACUUCAAUAAAACUGAUGCUAAUGAUUCCUGGCCUUGUAUAAAAAGGCUAAUGAAAGCACUUGAAACCGUAGUAUGUACAUGUGUAGCAUUUCUAGUUCCAUAAGCUCUUUCAGGUAAUAUAGCCAGCCUCGCCAUCAGACAUGGUAACUGCUGAAAACCCUCUAGCCCCAGCCAAAAAAGACCUUGCAACAACAGUUUAUCGGUUCAACAGGCAGCUGCAUGGACAUUGAUGCCAGCUCAGGAGAGAAGGUAUAGAUCCUUCUUCUCUUUGGUCUCUUCAGGAAGCUUAGGCAAGUUAUAGCACGUUGCUUUUGGCAGCUCUGAAAGAAAAUUCACAUCCUCAUAUUUCAAGACCAAUACCUGAAAGAAUUGUAUGUAGAUAUGCCACGUAUUACCAGCACAUGAAGGAGAUAGAGCAACAUUUUCAAGAAUAAGGAUGUGGGAUGGAAAAGCAGAAUAUCUUUCUUUCCAAGAAUUUGCAUUAGCAUGUUUCUACAUAUUUGUCUAGAAAUUUCUUGGGUUCUGCCUUGACCACUAUCAAAGAUGUUUUAUUUUUAAAAGUCACACUGCUGGGGCUUCAGAGAUGUUGCUGCAGUUUAGUAAAUGCAGAGGAAAGUAUCAAAGCUUUAACUAUUAAAAUAUAAAAGGGAAAAAUAAUGUAAAUUGUCAAGAACGGAUUGUGCUUUGUUCUGAAGGAACUGAAGUACUUCAGAGUAACAGUAUUUUAAACUAAGCAUUUUCCAGCAUAUGAGAGUUUUCACAGUACUGCUACCCAUAAAGGAAACUUUAAAUAUGAUGAAAAUACGUAAAACUACACUAGUAAGUGUCCUUUUUAAGACUGGUUUAUAUAAUCUCAUUGCCAUACAGACUAAAGCACUCUAGAUCACCAUAAUCUUAAAGCUUAAAAACAUCUCAAGCUAGGAAGAAGGCAUGGCAGCACAGAAGUCCCAAGGAACAGAGCCUGUAAUCAUUCAUGGAGGAUGUGACCCAGAGGUGUUCCCAGGAAAAACAAAGCACUCGGAUGACUUUGGCCACACUAUUAAGUAAAGCAUAUAUGCUUCUGCAGAAGAAACUCAUAUAUAACACCAUUCUGUCUGCAGAUGAGGAAUCUGGACGGGUAUUCACUGAUGUGUGCUAGUCACUGACAUCUGCUGCAAAACUGUCCCAUAACUUGCACGCUGUUGUCAUUGUUGUGCUGGGAAUUCAGUAGCUUUUCCCAAAGCAGGGAAUGAUGAUGGAGCUCGCCAGCUUCAUUUCACUGAGCAGUCCCAGGAGACCAGUACUGGUAGAAUGGAGAAAUUUGCAGAAUAUAUGACAAGAAAAUUGUAAGUGCUCAUAAUAUGCAUUUAUCCACUUUAUAGAUUUUGGAACUAUUUCAAGUUCAGUACCCGUGCUUGGUAAAAUUUGCAACAGGGUAAUUGUCAUAACACUUGCAUUUAACUGUAAGAGCAGUAUUGGGGCCAUUACAUCAGUGUUACACUUAGUCAUGGAGAAAGAACAGGAUAGUUGCUGUAAACAGUCUCAGGAAACAGGGAUCAAUGGCAGAAUCGAUUUAAACUGACCCUGAUAGUGGAGUGGUCUCAUCACAGGACUCUGCAGCCAGGGCCCAUUAAAAUAAUAAUUUAUUUUCCUUGCUGUUUUUGAGACACUGAAACUUUUUCAGCCUUGGAACAGAAUGAACUGCGAGGAGUGCAGUUGUUUUGAGUAAAUAUUCCCAGAAUUUCAACACACCGUGGAUGGCAAUGACGUCUCUUUUGAUGUUUGUUGUCCUAAUUCCAAUGCACAACGCUGAGUGUAAAACACCGAACUGCAGGUUACUCUGCAACAGAUUUAUGCAAAGAAAACAAAAAUCUUACUAUCUCUGUUAUCUGCCCCUUUUAUUUUGAUUUUGAUCUUGUGUUUCUAGAGGUCCCCACUAUGCCAGUUUCUGAGGAGGCUGCUCUUCCAAGGACAACUUUCUCAGGAGACCUCUCAACAUUUUUUUCUUGCUUGGCUGAGUCACUGGGGAUGUAAGAAACAAAGGCCGGCACGUUUUUUGCCUGUAGCACUGAGCAGCGCUGUGGCUUCUCUGGUUACCAUAUGUCUCAACAUGCAAAUGCAUGGUGCCAGCUCAUGCAACAACAUGCGCUACACUACUGGCUGGAUAAAAGAGUCGUACAGUAUUCAGCUGCAUCACUUUCUUGCCUGCAGGUCUACACUUUUUCCUCUCACUCUUCCUCAGUUUUAUGCAUGUAGAGUUAAGGUUUGUGGGGCAUGAGCUGAAUGCAAAAGUCUGAUUCACCCAGUUUAACUGAGGGACUUAGAUUAGGAGCUUAUUUGCCCUAAGCUACCUUAAUAGUCUGUGAGAAAGAUGUUUCUUUUCUUGGGGGGGGGGUGGGGGUGGUGCGGGGAGAGGGACACAAGUUAGAGGUACUCUGGAAAGAUUUUCCUUUCUUUUGCAAACAGGAGUUAACAAGGAAUGCAUUGCUAAUUAAGGCACCUGGCCAGAUGACUGGAGUUAGAUGAGAUUAAACUUAUCAGAGUGCAAUUGCUAAAAAGGACAGCUCUAAUACCAGACAGUCAAAGCAACAACCUUAUUUUCCUAACAGCCCCUCAGAUUUGGCCUGUUUAACCUUUCCCCAAGGGUUCUAACAACAGUGUUUAGGUUUUUGUCUUAGAGUUUUUCUAGUUUGUCUCUGAAUACUUUUGUCUGUGAUGAUUCCACUACUAACCUUGUUAUGAUACCAGAUUAAUUUAAUAAAUAUCCACCUAGAGGUGAGC